UACGUAGGGUGCAAGCGUUGUCCGGAAUUAUUGGGCGUAAAGAGCUCGUAGGCGGUUCGUCGCGUCGGCUGUGAAAACCCGGAGCUCAACUCCGGGCCUGCAGUCGAUACGGGCGGACUCGAGUUCGGCAGGGGAGUCUGGAAUUCCUGGUGUAGCGGUGAAAUGCGCAGAUAUCAGGAGGAACACCGGUGGCGAAGGCGGGUCUCUGGGCCGAUACUGACGCUGAGGAGCGAAAGCGUGGGGAGCGAACAGG
rnacentral:rRNA from 1 species